UACAGAGGUCCCAAGCGUUGUUCGGAUUCAUUGGGCGUAAAGGGUGUGUAGGUGGCGCCGUAAGUCGGGUGUGAAAUCUCGGGGCUUAACUCCGAAACUGCAUUCGAUACUGCGGUGCUUGAGGACUGGAGAGGAGACUGGAAUUCAUGGUGUAGCAGUGAAAUGCGUAGAGAUCGUGAGGAAGACCAGUGGCGAAGGCGAUUCUCUGGGCAGUUCCUGACACUGAGGCACGAAGGCCAGGGGAGCAAACGGG
rnacentral:rRNA from 1 species